GGCCGGAACCGGUCCGGCCCUGGACUCGGUCUGGUUUUUAAGUCAGACCCGGGCUGGCUCUUACACCGGGUCCGAUUUUUAAGGGGGACUCAAUUUUUCUUGUGCCAGUUUUUGGGCCCGGUCUGGAAAAAGAAAUGGUAAAAAAAAAAGUUUUCAAGCUCCUAAGGCAAAACUGUGAAGGAUCCAUAAGGACUUAGCUACCCCGUCUUGAAGCAGCGAGAAAGCGGCGAGCUCCAGGGGCCCAACAGCUCAAGGAAACCUUCUGAAGGAUCUAUUGAUAAAGGAAGAAGAAAAGAAGUGUAAAAGAGACAAAGAAAAAAAAAAAGAAAAUUGAAUAGAUGAACCUGCUAACAGAUUGAAGUAGGACUGAAAUUGCUUCAUUUUCCCCUAGAAGUCAGUCUAUGUAGUGCUUUAUAGUCCAUAAACUAAGCCAGCGGUGAGACUUGUGUUCUUGAAAAGCGAAGUUGGCCCAGUUGGGCAGGGCUCAGUGUAACAGCUCCAGUCUCCACUAGAUGGUGCUGCUAGCCUACUGGGGUGGAUUAUUGCAGUGCUCUUAGGGCGUAAGCACAUGUGCGGCAUUGAUGAAAAUGGUGCCACCCAGCUACCCAGUCUCUUCUCCUGGAUCAGCAAUGGCGCACCGGUCCUCCUUCCUCAGCUCUCAUCCACUACCUGCUCCUUCACUCUCUGUGACCAGGCCCCAGGCAGCACCUCUCUCCCAAGUUUUGUCUCAGAUGCGGCUGUUUUUCUUGGCCUCUUACUUCUGAAGGACUGCAGCUUUGACGUGUUCCGCCCCUCUGCGGAAGGUUCUCACCGAGCAAUGGCUGAAUGAGCAAUGGCCGAAUGUCGGCUGCACCCAGGAACGCUUGCUGGACCCUGCUGCUCCUGGUGCACGGAGACUGCGGCCAGGAGCCAGCCCGCCCCAGAAAAAGUUCUCAAGACAGUGUAGCAGCAGCAUUUCAGGGAUUAUGGAAAAUCACAACACACAUGUGGCACCAGACUUCACCCUUAACAAACUUGCCACAGCACCAGUGAAUGUGGCUGCCUUCUGGGGUCUGCUGGGACCGGGUGGCUUCAACAGUCUCUACCAAAUGUCCUUCCAGCAGUGGAACCGCUUUUCCCCGUGUGGCCCGAGAACCUCCUGGCCCCACUCUGUUCCUGUGGAUUCGCCCUUCCCACCAGAGCACCACCAGGACAUAUUGGGAAAUCUCUGAAUCUCAGAAAAUGUAAGAACCAUGUCUUCAAGUACACUGCUUCUACAUGAUACAGGCAGGAUUCACAUGCAGGUUUGUCUGAUGCUAACAUGAACACACUUUCUAUUAUACUAUAAGAGAGGUAAGAUAAUGCAAUCUAAUCCAAAGGACUAUGUAUGUGAUUCAUGCAAUUCUCAUUCAGAGGACUAAUGUUAAUGUAAGGAUGAAAAUAAUUUAUAAUUACCAGACAAGUGAAUGUUAGCUAUCACAGGUACUUAAAUUAUUUUCCUAAGUACUUUAUAUUACACCUGGCAGACCACACUAGUGUUAUUAUUUGACAAUUUUAAAAUAUUUUUUCAAAUAAUUUUUUUAAAGCUUUUCAAGUAAAGUUUAACUUUAGCCUUAUUCCUUGGUGAAGUUUUUGGUAUUUUACAUUUAUGGCUAAAGAGACUUGCAUUGUUUGAGAUACCCAAAGAUGCCAUAAGUCUUCUAGGUAGUGUCUAAAUCCCUGAGUAGCAAUUAAAAAAAAAUCUUGCUUAACUUUUAUUCUCCAGGGAUUUUAUAUUGUCAACAUGUCAUGAAAUCUUUAUCUCACUUCAUCUUUUAUCUCAUCUUUAUUUUAUUUCAUCCUUGUUUAACUGAAACAGGAAAAUUGUGGUGAACAAUUCAUGUUUUCAUUAUUAGAAAUGCCCAGGAGGUCUUGUUAAGCAGUAUAGAAUAUAGUUGUGUAUUUAAGAACAUAAAGAAUGCAUUUACUUAUAGGUAACUGAAAAUAAUAGGAAGAGUGAUGCAAGAGUCUAAAAUUUGAUGAGAACUAGUUUUAGAGUAUCAUCCUACAUGUUAUCACUUCAGAGAAUUUAUUGUUUAAAACCAUGUUAUACCCUUAUCUAUAAAUAGUACAUUGAGAGGUUAUAUAGUCUGGAAAUGCAUAACAAAUUUACUUGAUGACUUUCAUAGGACUCCGUGAUCUGCUGUGACUUUGUCAUAGACCACUAGUUCUUUAUAUUUUAAUGUUGUAUUAGCUAUUAUUAAUCUAUUUCCAUUUUUUGUGAAUUAAAUACAUUUAUUUGUUCAUUAAUUAUUACACCAGCAUCCAUUUAACAGCUGCUUUGGGCAUUAGCCUGAGGAGGUGGGAGUUAUACAAAGAUAAGUAAGACAUAAUGUAAAUACAGGAGACAAUUUUUUGACUAAAUAAUUAAAACAACACAUGAUAAGAAUAUGAGAGACACAUGAAAAAUGCUGAUUAGUGAGGUGAUACCAGGCAAGCUUCACAGAGGAAAUGAUGCUUACACAUAGACUUUUGAACGAUAAAUGUAUGUUUGUAGUGAUGUAGUUUGAAGUGGGGUUCAUGAGUGAAUGGUCAAGAAUGAAUCCUUGAGAUGUUUCAGUGCAAAAUGUAGUUUUAUAAAUCACAGGGACAGGACCUGUGGGCAGAAAGAGUUGCACUGGGAUUGUGAGGAGCAAUUGAUUAUAUACUUUGGAGUUGGGGGAGCUAAAGACAAAGGAAGUUCCCAAAAAGAUUUUCAUAUAUUAGUGAAAGAAAACUUGCAGGAUUCUGAGGGCCUACCUAUCGUCAAACUAAGGUUGUUUUUUCUUCUAGCAAGGCAUUAACAGUAAGACUGGGAGUUCCUGGAGGAAUGUUAUACUCUGCCUGCUUCAAGUAUUUGUCAAUGGGCUGCAAAUUAUAAAGUAAUUUAAUUUAUCUACAUUUCUUUGGCCUUCAUUUUCCACAUCAUUCCCCCCCUCAACAAUUUUGGCCCUUAAAUUCUUUAAGAUUGCUGGAGGAAGUGUUAUCUUCUGUAACUUCUACUGAAUAAGGGCAUAGAGAUGUCUCUACCUACAGGUCAAUAGUGGUCAGUUGGGGAAUGUAUAGGGGAGUUACAAAAGGUGGAGGCAGCUGAAUCCAACAUGGACAGUAAAAAAGUAUCUCUGUGGGUGGUAAGUAUCAUCUGUAGACAUGAAAGUUAUUGUAGUGAUGCACCAAGCAGAGAGAUGUUGAAAAAGGCAACAUAUUAGGAUUGAUAUGGCUAUAAGAAUGAGAAGCCCAAUAAAGAGACCUGUAAUAGUUAACCACAGUCCUCCUCCAAACCAGAAAGUUAAUCAGUCAUUGAAAGAGACAGUUUUUAUAAAGCUUCAAUUUAGGUAUUUGUAUCUUUUAAUAGACUUGUGACAUUUUUGUGAUAAUCUGGGAUGUAUACACAGCAUUAUUUUAAUAAUGGCACACAUACCACCUUGUGCUGCUGUUAGGAUAUAUAAAGCCAUUCUGUUUUGUAGAACCACUUUGCGUAUCUGUGUAAUUUCAGUGUGAAGUAAAGAGAUGCUGUUCUGUGAAUCGCUGAGUGCUUUUAUGUUAUAUUAAUUAAGGGCUUCCAUAUGCCAAAGUAUACUUUCUAAUCCUACAAAUGGAGCAAAAAUGGACACCAAAUGAUCAUACCAAUGAAAAAUAGACCAUGUCCAUCUUUAUUUUAAAUUGGGAAGAUUAGCUGGGGUAGUGAUGAUUUUGAUAAAGUGUCCAUGAAUCCAGGCAAAACCUAGGUACAACAAUGUAUCUACCCUUGAGGAAGCAAGGGUUAGAGAUUAGUUCCACAUUACCAUUGAGUUCCAUUUGGAACUAGCCAUCUGAUACCAGGUUGCCUUAUCCAAUCAGUAGCAAACCAGUCAGUAGCCUGGAGUACAAUGCUUUGAGAACACACUUCUAAUAAUAACCAUCCUAAAUACCAUGUGCUAUUUGCCCAGGUAUCAUGUAUAUGAUUUAUUUGCUCCCAGCUUAAAAUUGCCUUUUGACUGAGCUAUCCAAUGGUGGGUGUCAGCCAUAAUUAUGCAUCUCAAAUUUGAUAUAUGUCAUCCUCAGUAUAGUGGUAAGUAGGGUUUUAUAACUUAGGCACUCAUUGGCAGGCAUCAAUUUGUGGGUUUGUAAAGUCAAUUAAUGUUUUAAUAGUUUGAAGGUAUGAAAAAGUCUGGUUAUGUCCUGGUAAAUUUCAUGUCCUGUUGAUCAUGGGCCAGGAAGAAACAUUCUGCUUAGUGACAGAUUUAUCAUGAAACAUGGUAUCAUUAUAUAUCAUUUCUGCAAUACAAGUAUGUAGAGAGUGCCAAUUAGUGCCUUGUAAAGGGGAAACCUAACAGGGUAACCAAGAUGUACUUGGUAUGGGCAAAACUCCGCAUGUCCAAUAAGCUAUUUGAUUUUGUACUUCAGCGUAAUGAUGUACCCAUUGUAAAAAAGGAAGUCAGCCAAGAUAGGUGAAUAGAAAACAAAGAUAAAAUAUACAACCUUCAUUGUUGUUUGAAGAGUAGUUUCAGAUCUUCUACAGGUUCACGAGAGUAAGAAGGCACAUUAGUUUGCUCAUUGGUUUCCUGGUAAGGCUGCUGAGAACUCUGUAAGAAAGGUAUGAAGCCAAUAUUUGCAGGGUGUAGCAGGAUUCUUGCACAGAGAGACAGGACACUGAAGCUUUUCUGUCUAGGAAGCAACUUUAUUCAUCGUGCUGGAACGGGCUUAGUGGGUUCAUACCUGAAAAACUGAGCCCCAAGCACAGCAGGAUAUAGCUUUUUAUGCAAUUUCUACUUCUUUGUCUCCCAUAUAUGGUGACAUAUAGUCUGAUUUCACAUAGUCCAAGUUACAGAGUUAUGUCAGAACUAUGCCUAGGUGUAUAGGAGUUGAUUGGGCCACAUUGCCUUCCUUUGUUCUGAGGAGGCCUCCACCACAUUCCUUAGGGACGGGCUCUACUACAUUCCCCACUUUGAUGCUCACACACCCUAUUUUGAGUCAAGGAGCAUCAUCUUGGUUUGGAGGUUUAUAUUUCUAUAAUGUCACCGCACACGUGGCUGUUUUCCUUUCCAUCAUUGCAUCAUUGAGGCUGGAGACAGACCGUAUAACCAAGAGAGCUAGGCAAGAUAGGAUUAAGCAAGCUCCCCAAAUCAAGAGAAUAAUACCUAUGAGGGUUUUGAAUCCCUCAAAAAUUGAAAACCAUUUUCCUAAUAACUCCCAAGGAUUCCAACCUUUCCAGGUCUGGACUGGGACAUGAGAAACCUUUCUUAUUCGAUCUGUGAUCUCCUCUAUGACUUUUCUUUGAUCAUCUACCAGUAGGCAGCAGUUACUUAGGUUAAACCUUCCACAAACUCCUCUGUCAGAAGCAAGCAAGUAAUCUAAGGCCAGACUCUGAUAUUUUCAUUGGUUGUAAUUUCUACAACCGCUUAAAGUCUGAUUAUGCGGUUUUAGCAUGUAAAUGGGAGUGCAGUAGCCCCAGGACCCAUCCCCUGCCCGGGAGGCAGGGCCAUAAUAUUGGAUUAUAUGCUUGGGAGGCCAUUCAGUAUCUUUCCAAUUGCCAAUUUGUAGGGCACAUUAUUUCCUUUGAGUCUCCCUGUCCCCAUACUCUUGGACUCCCAAAUGUCCCCCUCUGGCAAGUGGGACACAUGACCCUGACCAGCCCGAGGGAAGUACUGUAUAGGCUUUCCUACAAAUCCAGUAUAAUCUAUCUGGGGCUUGCUAUUUGAUGGCUGUGUCAACACUGCCCCAGCCUCUCAGAUAUGAGAGAAGACAAGGGGUAGGGAUCUGGCUCAAGGUGCUCUGGGAACCUCCACCAUUGGGUUUCCCAGGUGGUUCAGUUAUAAAAUCUUUGGAUAAGGCAUGUUAAGCUUCCAACAGAGAUGGUGAACUUCCUUCCUCACCAGUCAAGGCAGUUUUUUCCAAUAAUUGAGGUUUUGAGGAGCCAAACCCUGGUAGUAGGACUGGGGUAUUCUGUUCCACUAUAAGGUUUGCACAGCUCUAAUUCUCUAGCUUCCCAUGGCCAUUGAUCCCCUAUGUUACUCCCCCUAACCCCCAUAGAAAACAAGUAGAGAUCUUUAGAGUCUGGGCUAUAAACUCUGCUAGGGCUAGAAAUAGAUUUUUCAUUGUGGCAGAGACAGGAGGAGGACCCUUCUCCAUUUCUUCAUAAAAGGAAUGAAAGACCUGGUGGGUCAUGGCCUUGUGUGUGAUAGUAGCUCUCGUAAAAUACAACAUGAUUCCUGGGUCUGUGCCCUGCCCAUAGAUAAGUAUACCAAUCUGGCGGUCUGUUUU